rnacentral:rRNA from 1 species
UACGGGGGGGGCAAGCGUUGUUCGGAAUUACUGGGCGUAAAGGGCUCGUAGGUGGCCAACUAAGUCAGACGUGAAAUCCCUCGGCUUAACCGGGGAACUGCGUCUGAUACUGGAUGGCUUGAGUUUGGGAGAGGGACGCGGAAUUCCAGGUGUAGCGGUGAAAUGCGUAGAUAUCUGGAGGAACACCGGGGGCGAAGGCGGCGUCCUGGACCAAUACUGACACUGAGUGAGCGAAAGCCAGGGGAGCAAACGGG